CAAUUCCGAUUCCCUUUUAAAUCGUAAAAAUCUUUCGCCUUUUACUAAACAUUUGCGUGGAGGGGAGCAUUCAAAGGAGUCUAGAAUUCAAUUUUUUUUUAAUAUUGAUCAUUAUAA